rnacentral:misc_RNA from 1 species
GAUGAAGAACGCAGCGAAAUGCGAUAAGUAAUGUGAAUUGCAGAAUUCAGUGAAUCAUCGAAUCUUUGAACGCACAUUGCGCCCUCUGGUAUUCCGGGGGGCAUGCCUGUUCGAGCGUCAUUAUAACCACUCAAGCUCUCGCUUGGUGUUGGGCCCCGCCGCCCCGGCGGGCCCUAAAGUCAGUGGCGGUGCCGUCCGGCUCCGAGCGUAGUAAUUCUUCUCGCUCUGGAGGUCCGGUCGUGUGCUCGCCAGCAACCCCCAAUUUUUUUCAGGUUGACCUCGGAUCAGGUAGGGAUACCCGCUGAACUUAAGCAUAUCAAUAAGCGGAGGA